CCAAUAGCGUAUAUUAAAGUUGUUGCAGUUAAAAAGCUCGUAGUUGAAUUUCGGGAUCAGCGCGUCGGUCGUGCCUCCGGUAUGCACUGGCGCCGCUGGUUUCUCCCUUCUAAGGAACCGUGAUGUCAUUAAAUUGGUGUCGCGGGAAAUCAGGACUGUCACUUUGAAAAAAUUAGAGUGUUUAAAGCGGGCACGCGCUUGAAUACAUUAGCAUGGAAUAACGAAAUAGGACGUUCGAUCUUAUUUUGUUGGUUUCUAGGAUUGACGUAAUGAUUAAUAGGGAUAGUUGUGGGCAUUAGUAUUCAAUUGUCAGAGGUGAAAUUCUUGGAUUUAUUGAAGACUAACUACUGCGAAAGCAUUUGCCAAGGAUGUUUUCAUUAAUCAAGAACGAAAGUUAGGGGAUCGAAGACGAUCAGAUACCGUCGUAGUCUUAACCAUAAACUAUGCCGACUAGGGAUCGGAUGAUGUUAAUUUUAUAAUGACUCAUUCGGCGCCUUACG
rnacentral:rRNA from 1 species